GGGCUGAUGGCGGAAUAGGCAGACGCAUUAGACUUAAAAUCUAACGAUGGUAACAUCGUGUGGGUUCGACUCCCACUCAGCCCA
rnacentral:tRNA from 1 species